CUCCAGCAGAUUACUUUAGAUAUGUCCAGAUAAGGGACUUCGCUAGAAGACCUCGUAUUAAAGCUGCAGCCCAGGGACAGUUUACUUUUUACGAGAGACUAUGUAGAGAGGGAUCUGCCCCCAAAGGAAUGAUUACGCUUCUGUAUGCUCAUCUCAGCACGGAGACUAAAGAAUGGGGUAGAUUGAAGUACACUGAUAGAUGGGAAUCGGACCUGGG